rnacentral:tRNA from 1 species
GUCCAGGGAUGGGAAUCGGACCCACAAUGUUCCGCUUACCGGGCAGAUGCCAUGUCCACUAGGCUACCCUGGA